rnacentral:ncRNA from 1 species
UGUCUCCUCCAACUCUCCUCAGAAAAGAAUUGGAUUUCAAGCCCGCUACCCAGCGGGCUUUUUUUU